rnacentral:tRNA from 1 species
GGGAACGUCGAUAUUCAAAUUGCGAAGAACUGAGUAAGUUGGUUGGUUUCCGGACAAAUCCGCUGGGGGUUCAACUCCCUCCGUUCCCA